rnacentral:misc_RNA from 1 species
AGCAGCCGCGGUAAUUCCAGCUCCAAUAGCGUAUAUUAAAGUUGUUGCAGUUAAAAGCUCGUAGUUGAAUUUCGGGGUUAGUAGGUUGGUCAUGCCUCUGGUAUGUACUGGUCUCACUGAUUCCUCCUUCCUGAUGAACCUUAAUGCCAUUAAUUUGGUGUUUUGGGGAAUUUGGACUGUUACUUUGAAAAAUUAGAGUGUUUAAAGCAAGCUAACGCUUGAAUACAUUAGCAUGGAAUAAUGAAAUAGGACGUUCGAUCCUAUUUUGUUGGUUUCUAGGAUUGACGUAAUGAUUAAUAGGGAUAGUUGGGGGCAUUAGUAUUCAAUUGUCAGAGGUGAAAUUCUUGGAUUUAUUGAAGACUAACUACUGCGAAAGCAUUUGCCAAGGAUGUUUUCAUUAAUCAAGAACGAAAGUUAGGGAUCGAAGACGAUCAGAUACCGUCGUAGUCUUAACCAUAAACUAUGCCGACUAGGGAUCGGGAUGAUGUUAAUUUUUAAUGACUCAUUCGGCGCCUUACGG